UGUAAAACAUAUUUAGAACUCA
rnacentral:miRNA from 2 species